rnacentral:rRNA from 1 species
UACGUAGGGUGCGAGCGUUGUCCGGAAUUAUUGGGCGUAAAGAGCUCGUAGGCGGUUUGUCACGUCUGCUGUGAAAUUUCGGGGCUCAACCCCGAACUUGCAGUGGGUACGGGCAGACUAGAGUGUGGUAGGGGAGACUGGAAUUCCUGGUGUAGCGGUGAAAUGCGCAGAUAUCAGGAGGAACACCGAUGGCGAAGGCAGGUCUCUGGGCCAUAACUGACGCUGAGAAGCGAAAGCAUGGGGAGCGAACAGG